UACGAGAGGUGCAAGCGUUAUUCGGAUUUAUUGGGCGUAAAGGGUGUGCAGACGGCCUUUUAAGUCACUUGUUAAAUACCCUGGCCUAACUGGGGAAGUGCGAGUGAAACUAAUUGGCUAGAGGAUGGAAGAGAGAAGUGGAAUUCUCGGAGUAGCGGUAAAAUGCGUAGAUCUCGAGAGGAACACCGAUGGCGAAGGCAGCUUCUUGGUCCAUUUCUGACGUUCAUACACGAAAGCGUGGGGAGCAAACAGG
rnacentral:rRNA from 1 species